GAUUUUUUUAAUCUUAAAAAUCAUAUGCCUCAAGGGGCACCUGGGUGGCUCAGUGGGUUAAAGCCUCUGCCUUAGGCUCAGGUCAUAGUCUCAGGACCCUGGGAUCGAGCCCUGCAUUCAGCUCUCUGUGCAGUGGGGAGCCUGCUUUCUCCUCUCUCUCUGCCUGCCUCUCUGCCUACUUGUGAUCUCUGUCAAAUAAAUAAACAAAAUAUUUUUAAAAAAUCAUAUGCUUCAAAUCUUUGGAUUCAUCUAUUAUGAAAUCAAAUAUAUUCGUGUGUUUAGGUCAUCAGUUGUUUUCAGGGAAAUAAUGCCUCUAUUAUGAUUAAAAAAACAAAGCUUGCUGAAUAAUUGGUUUAUAACUAUGGCAACAUGAGUCAGCUGGGUGUUUGGCUAAAGUCCACUCAGUGGGAGGAGAUUAACCUAUAUUUUAAAAAUAUAGUAUUGUAAUUAAUUGAUUUUAAUUAGUUGUAAUUAGUUGAUUUUAAUUAGUUGAUUUGAUUUUUUCUAUUGUCUUUCUGUUGACAGGAGCCAUUAGGUCCCAGUCUGAUGUUUUUAAACCCAUGGCAUGGAAUAGAAAGGUCCUCUUUGGGGAGCCAGCUACCACAGGGCCUCUGCUUUUGGCCUGGCCUGGCCACUGGAACAGGAAAAAAUGCAGCUGUUCUGUUCUUACCAUGUGGAACUCAGAUUGUGAAGACUGUUGCUUUUCUUUUAUUGAUUUCACUUGUGGUCAAAAGUCAAGAAUAUCUCCAAUCGUAAUCUACUUCCCAUCUACAAAUAAAAUAUCUUUUUUUUUUUAAGUUACAUAUACAUCACUGCUUUUCCUUGAGGAAAAAUAAAAAUAAAAGCACAA
rnacentral:lncRNA from 1 species